UAGAAGUGCUGCGCGCUGUUGGGCCCCGAGGGAGGCGGCAGCGAGAGGCGACGGAGCCGGGGGAGACGCCGGAGCCCGGGUGUCGGAGGUGCUGCCCCACCGUGUUGGCUGGUAAGGGCUUCGGGGGGCAGCGAGCGCGAGGGCCUUUGGAGCAGUCCGCUCAUGGAUGUUGAGGGGAACAAAGCCCCCCCCCCCCGAUCCCAGGCUGGGGUAUGGGGUGUGUCGGGCUAGGAGAGGUUAGCACACUGGAAUAAUAAAAACCAACAUUUAAAAAUUAAAAAAUUAAAUUAAAAAAACCCAACAUUUACAGAGCACUUUGUGCGAAGCCCUGUCCUAAGCAUUGGAAAUGGAGUCUUUCAGGAGCUAGUGUCUGUUGUUACUUACAGAGAAGAAAACAGACAUAGGAAUUGCCAAAAGUCACAAAGGAUGUGACAGAAAUGAGGGACAGGAUUUGACCCCAAGCAAUCUGGCUUGAGAAUCCCUGUCCUUGGAGAUGGGCCUUGGGGACAUUCCUGCCCUGCGGACCUGCUUUGCAGAGUGGCUUGACCAUAAACACGUUUCUCUCCCCCCACAAGGCAAGCUGUGAAGGCAGUCGUUAGCUUUGUCGUUAGCUUUGGCGAACGUGCCUGGGUGGGCAUCAGGACGUGGGUCUGCCUUGGGGAGGAUUUUCCUUUUCUGCCCCGCCAGGCCCAGGAUGUUGGCGGGAAUGAGAAGUUGCUGGUGUGUCUGCCCCAGUGGCUGGUGAGGAAGGUGCCUCCAUGGGAGCUCAGCAAAAGACAGUGUAAUCCUCUGGGUCCACCCGGCCCCACCCGCAGAUGCCAACUUUGGGUUCAGUGAGCUGUGUGGCCAGCUGGGUUGCCAUGGCAACAGGAAGUGGCCCCAAGCCACCAGAGGUUGGAGAGCCAAGACACACUGGUUACUUGGGUGUGUCUUGGACCACAAGGCUCAUCCGUGACCUCCGGCGAACCUGGAGAACCCAUGAGGGGGCCCCCGCACUUUGACAGAACCCACCAAACCCGCCUUUGGUCCUGGCCUGUCUCGUGUUGGUGCUUUUGUGGUCUUUGAGCUGUGAACACUCCAGUUCUCCGUCCUGCUGAUUUUCUCCAUCCUCCAGGCUGGUGCUUAUGGGAAUUCACACAAGCCCGAGAGGUGAAGCGAGGUGUCCGUGGUUUACUCCUCUGACGCCACGAAGACAAGCUUUGGCCCGUGAGGAGGUGGGGCUUCUGGUACCUUUGAUGCAGGCCAAGGACAGCACUCGCUGUGACCCCCCCCCCAUGCCCCCACUGCUCUUCCGCCAGCCACUGCCCGCGGCCCUCCCCUUCUCAUGCCCGUCUGCCUGGACUCCGUCUUUUUUGGCUCUGUCUUGCCAACCUCGGUGCUUCCUAGCGCUGAGGGGGGAAGAUGGGCCUGUUUCCAUUUGGACCACUUUAUGUAAGUCGGAAGACCCCUUGGAAAGGUUUUCUGAGUCUAACCUUGGCCUUGAGACACCCUCUGUGGUCCAAGCAAGUCCUCUCUCUCUCAGUGCUGGAAGCACAGUGGGCAGCCGGGCUCCCUUCAGCCAGUGGAUUCCUGCGGGAAUUGUUCUGUGUCUCCUCCGGUGCUCAGAGCGCUUCAGAGACGGCCCCUUUGUGGCACACAUCGGCCUGGCCGCGCCCCGUGCCCACUUGGCCCACAUUCCGCUCUGCCCCCCAGGCCCGUGGAGCCAGGCGUGGGCUGAAGUGAGGCCACCGGAAUGCCCGGAAUGCGGGCCGCCGCGACCGACGGACACUCACGUCCCUCGCGGGAGAUCUGACCAACGCAGCGCCGGGGACGGACGGCGCUGAGCCGAAGUCUUUACAUUCUUCCCAGUUUCAGGCCGAAGUGAAGGACGCCUGCACUUCUCCCUACCGCCAGCUGACUCACGGUCUCGAACUUUAGAAUUAAAGGGGCCACACUCUGGGAUUGUGAUCUAACUGGCCUGUUGGGUCCCGGUCAAAUUAUUUGCAAGUAACCUCUUUUCGCGUCUAGCUUGGCUUUCCAUUAGGCCGACACAGAAACCAGAAAAACGCUGAUUCUCGGAUAUGCUUCCCCUGCAGAAGUUGCCGGAUAAAAAACAGGAUCUCCCCCAGGACUCUGACCGCCCACCACUUGGCUGGUCCAACAGUAAUGUAAUGUGUCCAGAACUGACCUCCUGCUGUUGCCUCCCCAUACACCUGCUCCCUCCGGGGAAAGGCAACUCUAUCCUUUAAUCUUGGAAGUCUAGAAUCUUCCUUGACUCCUCCUGGGCUCACACUCACAUCUGAGCCUCUGGAGCGUGUCAGACGCCAUUAGAAUCCCCUCUGCUGGACACCUGUGGAAGUACUGCCAUCAUCCCCCUGCCCAAGCGCACCUGGCCCUAUUACCUAGCUUUACGCCUCUCCUACACUUACCACCGUUGGACACGUUGCAUAUUUGUUGAUUGUUUAUCAUCUCUGUCGACCAGAAGGUAAACUCCUGGAAAGCAGGGACUUGGUUUCCCUCCAUGUCAUAACUUCGGAUAAUGAGCAGCUGCUCAGUCGGUGUGUGUGGAAUGAAUAAAUGACCGGAACCCCUGAUUCACUGAAAUUGUACAAUAUUCUUCAAACACUACUUGUAAGCACAAAUGAAUUACUUGACAUAUGUAUAAUAAUUCCACUUUACGAAAUAAAACUCUGAGCUGAAGACCCUCAGACCUAUAUUCCUUGCA